UGACCAGCUGUUCAAUAUAGAAUCUGGACCAAACUUAGGUUUAACUCAGACUUUUUUCUGAUAUUCUGUUAUUUUUGUGUGCUCCAUAUUACCAUUGACUUCUCAGAAGUGUCUAUAGUCUUUUUAAAUAGAUUAAAUGAUGCUAGCCAAUGCCAAUUUAAUUCGUCUGAGUUAUUUUUCAGCAGACCAUUUAUUGUACAUUGAGUGCGCAGCUUGAUCGAAAGAGUGAUUCGGAUCAAAUACUGCCUCCCAUACUUUUCAGCCAUCCUUGCAGAGGAGUUCCGCAGUCUUCUUUUAAGCCUGAAGUGGUCUCGUGUAAUGAGGUUGAUGUAAAAGAAGGUUUGCGUCACACUCCCUGAGACUACAUCCACUGUCAGCAGUGCAGCAUCUGGAGGAUUUUCAUUUUUUUGCCUCCUCUGUCUUCGGAGAUGGUGGCACCAGGGCGUCGGUGUCAUUUUGUCACUUUAUAACGCUGACAGAGAGUCCGUAUCCAUCUGAUCCAUCAUGACAGAUAUUUUUCUUCAUGAUGCAGCAUUUGCCGAGGGAGAGAGCCUGAUACUCAGACGAGCACAGCAUAAAUAUAAAUCAAGAUCCAGGACUCAAGUUUCAUACACAAUUAGAGGUUAUUCUAUGUAGUAGAGAAAUUGCAUGAAGGAGCAUCUUCUUACACAUACGGAACCCAAGGACUGAGCAUCGCGAAAAAAUACUACAACGAUCAGCAGACAUACCUGCAGACAAAUCAUCAAAAUGACACAUUUCUAUCAGGACUGAUUGGCAAAGCCAAGGGGCAGGUACACAGACUUGCAAUGAUAAUCGAGGCCGUAUCAAAUGCACAAACCGUAUUGCAGGAAAUUGGAGAGGCAAAUAUCCAUAAAAUUGACGAGGAAUUCAUAAGGAAAGUUGACAUCCAUUUGAAGGAAACCAGAUAUGCCAAAGUGAUAUCUGAAUCCUCCACAAUAAAAAGUAUUGCUGUAAAUAAUUAUUUUCUUCAGCAAAAAAAAAUCUGCAUGCCGGGUAUUCCAAAGACGAAGAUUCAGUACCAGACAAUUUGAACCCAGCUCUCACAAAAAAAUCCUGCUUUGGCCAGGAAAAAAUGUAAAAUGUCAAGAUGUAGCGCGCUGCUGCCGAUCAAAUGCAGAGACAAUAAAGUUUCACAUGAAAGAGCUAGCAGCCAUCGGUAUUGGAGGAGUCAACUUGGAAAAGCCCAUUGGAGGGGGUCGAAUAACCGUUGUGUUUGACAAAAAAGAUGUGCCCGAUUCCGAUAUGGAAGAAGCAAUGGAGUUAGGGGAAAAGCUGGUUCGUUAAGGUGUCAAAUUCGACGAGUACAAAUCACAGUUGGAAAAUAACGAAAAUAUUCUCUGUCCAUCAAAGAAACAAAAAAACAUGUGAACACUUCAAUAACAGCAUGCCCUAAUUAUGUUUAUAAUUAAAGAGAACGUUU